AGCAGCGGUUCUCAACCUGUGGGUCGCGACCCCUUUGGGGGUCGCCUAAGACCAUCGGAAAACACAUAUAUCAUUACAUAUUGUUUUUGUGAUUAAUCACUAUGCUUUAAUUAUGUUCAAUUUGUAACAAUGAAAAUACAUCCUGCAUAUCAGAUAUUUACAACACGAUUCAUAACAGUAGCAACAUUACAGUUAUGAAGUAGCAACGAAAAUAAUUUUAUGGCUGGGGGUCACCACAACAUGAGGAACUGUAUUAAAGGGUCGCAGCAUUAGGAAGGUUGAGAACCACUGCUUUAGAGUAAUGGGGUCCUCUCAUUUGGCACUGUGAAAUGUACAUUAUUAAUGAGAUUUAAAUUAAUAAAAAUAUUAAAAGAGAAUGUACACCUCACUAUGAUAAGCACUAUUCUUUUUUGGCUGUUAAUUCUCACCAGAGGGUAUUUUCCCAUUGUUUUUAGAUAGAAACAUCGAUGUGAAGAGACACAUCAAUUGAUUGCCUCCCGCACACAGCACUGCUUGAGUUUCUCACAACAUGGUGGCUGGAUUCCCCCAGAAAGAGAUCCAGUGGACCGAGGCAAAAGCAGAAAUGGCAUUCCUGACUUAGUCUCGGAAAUCAUCCGGUCACCUACACGGUGCUCUUGGUCACAAAUACCAGCUCCGCGUCGGUGUGGGAGGAGAGAACACAUGAGCUUGAACACCAGGAGAGUUCUCUGCAGAAGGCGGGGGAGAGGAGUAAAGAAUAUAAUUGCUGACCAGGGAAAGAGGUUAAUCUCAGCUAUCAUCAGACCAAGAGAAGAUAAAUCUACAAAAACCCUAAAAGCCCAGGCAGGUCACAGCCAUGCUUAAGCACACACAGAAGAUUGUUGUCAUUCUUGGCACCGGGCAGUAGAAGUAGCAAGACAUGCGGGCCAGGCGCCAGAGGCGGAAUGUCCCUCCACCUGUUUUGUGCUGUAAGACAGACUUCCAGGGGCGAGGCGGUUGGAGGGCUGUGUCCUGGAGCGGCAGCUGAAUGCGCCAGCAGGACCCUUGGCAGCAGGGCCUGGGCACUGAGGCUGGGCAUUCAGGAGAGCUAAAUGCAGAAAAGAAACUUGAGCAAACUGCUUCCUGGUAUUCUGAGGACCUGAAUGGGAAAUGAAAACGUACCAGAUUCUCGCUGUUCUUACACAGCCAAGAAAAGUGUUACUGCUGUGUUCCGCUCUUGCUUGCAAAGUUCCCCCAUCCCAAAGUAACAGCUUCAUACCAGUCCAGCACAGCCAUGGCAGAGAGGUUCCUCUAGGAAGACGGGUGACUUAUUCUAAAUCUCCAAGGGACAGCUCCUUAGGUGGGAGGGCGGAAUGUGCCAGCGCGCUUGUUGACCAUGUCCCGUGCGAUGUCAUGUGAACAAAAAGCUGGGGCUAAAGUCUGGCCUCUCCGGCCUGGCACAUACAAACCCCGCCACUCAGCGGGCCCCCUGGCCUGGGAGAACUUGCGGCAGGAAGGGCUCCUCCAGACUUGAGCACGCAUUACCUGAGGAGGUGGGCAGGCAGCAGGAGGGGCAGCAGGCGCAGGCUGUUGUGAAUUUUGUGCUGUGUGCCUAUUGCCUUCUGGAACCCGGGAUUACAACCUAGAAGCCUAGCAGUUUGGGAGAAUUCCUGCAGCAACUUUCAGUUUUUCAGGAAGCGCAAAAGUAAUUGUUUACUCAAAAUGAAACCUCAAGGAUGACUCUUAGUUAGAAAAAAAAAAUCUUGACUCUGGCUUCCUCUUAAGAAAAUAAAUUCGUUAUUAUGGAACAAAUGUGUUUGCCUAUAAACAAAGUCUUUCAAAACAGACCUUCUAUGGGGACAGUCCUUUUAAAAGGGGUUUUCAGUGGGAAGUAGAAUAAAACAUACUGUGCUAGAGAAGUGUUUAAGGGGUGUAAUUUUCCCAAUUAUUUUCAUUAAAAACUGACAAACAGUGGCUAUCCUCCCAUUAUACUCCGCAUCUAAUUCAUGGAAGUACUGGAGACUUGAAAAGACUGCCCCGGGAGAGGCCCUGGAAAGUUCGAGGCCCCUGCGUCUGCAGGGACUUCCUUGCGGAGUGUCCCAGAUCCGAGACCUUGCCUCUUGGCCAGGGCUGCAGGGAAUGGUAGCAACCAGUAGAGGCAGACCUUGCUGGGCUGGGAGCUGGGAGCGCUGUCAUG